GCACAAGCAGUGGAGUAUGUGGUUUAAUUCGACGCAACGCGAAGAACCUUACCAAGUCUUGACAUCCUGCGACAGUGCUGGAAACAGUACUUUCCUUCGGGACGCAGAGACAGGUGGUGCAUGGUUGUCGUCAGCUCGUGUCGUGAGAUGUUGGGUUAAGUCCCGCAACGAGCGCAACCCUUAUGGUCAGUUACUACGCAAGAGGACUCUGGCCAGACUGCCGUUGACAAAACGGAGGAAG
rnacentral:rRNA from 1 species